rnacentral:lncRNA from 1 species
UUUUAACUAUGGAUAGACAAGGCAUUAGGAAACACUGACAGUUGUACCCAGAUUUUAAAAAUGUGGGUUCCAAAUGCUUCAAAUGAUCGCAAAGUCGUGACAUUUAGCCAUGGUGUUCAUAUCAGGUGCACAGUCACUGAAGUUAAAGUGGCAACGUUCACACCUCACUAGGUCCUAGGCACGAAGUUUUAUACAAGCCUUUUUUCUCACUGUGUCUCACUAUGAACUUGCUGUUGUAAGUGGAUAGGCAACAUCUUUGGCCACAAAAAGACUUAUGUGAAAAUAUAAAUCUAAAGGAGUGUCUGCUGUGAAUCUCUUCUCUCUUCUCAGACAAACAGAGGCCCGAUGGGGCCAUGAACUCUGGCUGGGAUGUGAUUUUAUGGAAGCAGGAGUUGGUGAUCAUUUAUCAAAAGGAGCGAUCUGAAACGUUGCAUCUCAAUGGAGUGAUAGAAAACAGUGUGGCAGAAAUCCACUUCUCUUAUCAGGGCCCCGAAAGAUGCUUCCAAGAAUUCAUGAGCAUUUAUAUCAGCAUUCUUCUACAAUCACAGGUGUCUAUUGUGCCCUAG